CUUAUGUUUUAAUGUCUCGUAGCGAUCUGUUUUUCAGUUAACAAUGAGCUAUUCCUCUGGCUGAAUUUAUUCUUAAUAGAUUUAUAAACAGAAUCAGAUGUCCAGUGACACCUUCAUCUUUUAUUGUUAGAUUUAAUUUCUGUUGUGUAAGGUAGGUAUAAUUAAUCUAGUAAACUGCACAGCUCCUGUGCCUCCUAGGUCCGACGCCAAUUUAUUGACGUGUGUCGAUAACCUGGCUUGAUAUUUUUUGCUGUAAGCUACUAUUUCCUCUUUCACUGUGGGAAUAUUUAGGUCCAUUUGUAUGAUCUUGUUGCUUAUGUAAUGCGGUAUUCUUAGCAUUGUUCUGAAAGUUUUAUUUUGAAACCUUUCCAGGAUCUCGACGUUGCUAUUGCUGGCAGUUCCCCAAAGCUGUAUGCCAUAUGUCCAUAUUGGCUUUAAGAUGGUUUUGUAAAUUAAAAUUUUACUUGUUGGCGAAAGCUGGGAUUUCCCUCCAGUCAACCAGUACAUAUUUCUUAGCCUUAUGUCUAAUUGUUUUCGCUUAGACCAGCCGUGCGAUUCUGUAAGCGUUGUUUAACAAACUCGCACGUGAAUUUGGUGUGAGUUUUCAAAUUGGCAUUCUGUAAAUUUCAUUGUAGUGCCGAAUCUACACUAGCGCCCCUCGCGGGUGAAUUGAACUAGCAAGCGUGAGUUUUUUUUACUAAAAUGUAUGAGUUGACGUUUGAAACGGCAUUCUGUAGUGUAAAUCACGUCGAAUUUCGGCAAGAACUUCGCAUCGCAAAAUCAUUUUAUUUGUCAAAUCAAAAGUUAGUGUUUUAAGUGUUUGUUGUGAGUGAGAAUAUACGAAAACGUUAUAAAUCGCUGUUAAUUAUUAAAAAAAUACUAUAAAUUAACAAAAUUGCACUUUAAAAUAACUUUAUUCUUCAUCGAUAUUUUAUGGAGCGUAUGUUUUUAUUGAAAACAUUGUUGAAAGAGGCUGACGCUACGGAUCAGCGUGAAAUGCGUCGACAAGCCUACGAAAUUCACAAUUUAUCACUUUUAACUUGAGAUGACGACUAUGUAAAAGUAUAAAGAAAGUGUAUAGAUUGUCGAAGGAUCAUAUGAACCAGUUAGGGUGUGAAUUACACCCUUUGACGAAGACCACUAAAAGCCAUUGAAAAGGACUUUCAACUCUUCUAAAGUUUCAGUUAUUGUGCACCUUGUUUAUUUGGGCAAAUGAAGUUACCAAAAAAAAUCAUAAAAGAAAAUAUAAGAACAUAUUUGUCCCAGAUAUCCCAGUGUAUAUCUGAGGUUGUGGAGGCUCUGAACAACCCAGCAACUAUAUAUAAAUAUUUAAGAUUCCCGCAGAAUGCUCAAGAAUGGCAAAAGUUGAAGGAAAACUGAAGAAAAAAGAAGAAGGUGGUUUAAACUAAAUAAAUAUUUUUUUUCUUCAUAAAAAAGUACCAAUAUUAAUCUAAUGCUAAAUAUUGCAGUUUUUGUAAAAAAAUUAAAAUCACUUUGGUUGUUGGGUGUAUUGAUGGGACGUUGGUGGCCUUAAAAAGACCUGCCACCAAUAAAAAAUGUUUUUACUGUCACAAAGGCUAUCAUGCCAGAAAAUGUACAAUUUGUAAAGCCAUUAAUAUUUUUCGAAAUUCUGAUGAUAUGUAAUCCAUAAACGAAAUGUGUAUUAUGAACUAUGUAUUCAGAUUGUAUUCAUUUCAGUUAAAUUGAAUUGUGUAUAUUGCUUUAAAGUUAUUGUGAAAUUUAGUAUUUAUAUUAAAUAAACUUUAUUCAGUUAUAAAAAAAACAAAAUAAAAUCUACUAAAGAUUAGUCAAUGACAGCAAGUAAUGACCAUUAUAAAUAAUUAACAUCUUUUCGGUCUUUCUGUAUAUGCUUAACGUUCCAACCUUAUGACACCUUUUGCUAAUUUUUUUUUCAUUUCACCAUCUAAAUGGUUAGCUCACAGCCCACCUGGUGUUAAGUGGUUACUGGAGCCCAUAGACAUCUACAAAGUAAAUGCGCCACAAACCUUGAGAUAUAAAUUCGAAGGUUUCACCAUCUAAAUGGUUAGACGAGCUCACAGCCCACCUGGUGUUAAGUGGUUACUGGAGCCCAUAGACAUCUACAAAGUAAAUGCGCAAACCUUGAGAUAUAAAUUCGAAGGUCUCAGUAUAGUUACAACGGCUGCGCCACCCUUCAAACCGAAACGCAUUACUGCUUCAGAAACAGGCGAUAACGCUAUGCUAGCUAAUACCUGCUAAUAAUGGCUAGCUAAUACUAAUACGGAGAGAGAUACUCCUGAAGCUUUGUAGCACCACCUUCAUUCCACUGCCCGUAACUCAGUGAAAAGAACAAUAGUUCUGUUAAAGAGUAGAUUCAGGUGUUUGCUGAUCCAUAGGGUGCUAAUUUAUCACCCUGAUAAGGUAGCAAAAAUAGCUGUUGCGUGUUGUGUUUUGCACAACAUUUGCAAUUGUGCAGAGCUGCCAGUUCCCAUAAUCUCAGAUUAUGAGAUUACAUUUAAAUUAUGGUGGUCAUGUUGAAUUACUUUGUUAAAUUCUACUAAUUAGCUUACUUAUAGUGUGAAGUAACUUCAAAUAUAAAUUAAUGAUUUAUAAAAA